AGUGAACGCUGGCGGUAGGCCUAACACAUGCAAGUCGAACGGCAGCACAGUAAGAGCUUGCUCUUACGGGUGGCGAGUGGCGGACGGGUGAGGAAUACAUCGGAAUCUACUUUUUCGCGGGGGAUAACGUAGGGAAACUUACGCUAAUACCGCAUACGACCUACGGGUGAAAGCAGGGGAUCUUCGCACCUUGCGCGAUUGAAUGAGCCGAUGUCGGAUUAGCUAGUUGGCGGGGUAAAGGCCCACCAAGGCGACGAUCCGUAGCUGGUCUGAGAGGAUGGUCAGCCACACUGGAACUGAGACACGGUCCAGACGCCUACGGGAGGCAGCAGUGGGGAAUAUUGGACAAUGGGCGCAAGCCUGAUCCAGCCAUACCGCGUGGGUGAAGAAGGCCUUCGGGUUGUAAAGCCCUUUUGUUGGGAAAGAAAAGCAGCAGGUUAAUACCCCGCUGUUCUGACGGUACCCAAAGAAUAAGCACCGGCUAACUUCGUG
rnacentral:rRNA from 1 species